UGGGGAAUUUUGGACAAUGGGGCAACCCUGAUCCAGCAAUGCCGCGUGUGUGAAGAAGGCCUUCGGGUUGUAAAGCACUUUUGUCCGGGAAGAAAUCGCACCUGAUAAUACCGGGUGUGGAUGACGGUACCGGAAGAAUAAGGACUGGCUAACUACGUGCCAGCAGCCGCGGUAAUACGUAGGGUCCAAGCGUUAAUCGGAAUUACUGGGCGUAAAGCGUGCGCAGGCGGUUGUGCAAGACCGAUGUGAAAUCCCCGUGCUUAACCUGGGAAUUGCAUUGGUGACUGCACGGCUAGAGUGUGUCAGAGGGGGGUAGAAUUCCACUUGUAGCAGUGAAAUGCGUAGAGAUGUGGAGCAAUACCGAUGGCGAAGGCAGCCCCCUGGGAUAAAACUAACGUUCAUGCACGAAAGCGUGGGCAGCUAACAGG
rnacentral:rRNA from 1 species